rnacentral:rRNA from 1 species
ACGCACGCUGGCGGCGUGCCUAAUACAUGCAAGUAGAACGCUGAAGAGAGGAGCUUGCUCUUCUUGGAUGAGUUGCGAACGGGUGAGUAACGCGUAGGUAACCUGCCUUGUAGCGGGGGAUAACUAUUGGAAACGAUAGCUAAUACCGCAUAACAAUGGAUGACACAUGUCAUUUAUUUGAAAGGGGCAAUUGCUCCACUACAAGAUGGACCUGCGUUGUAUUAGCUAGUAGGUGAGGUAAUGGCUCACCUAGGCGACGAUACAUAGCCGACCUGAGAGGGUGAUCGGCCACACUGGGACUGAGACACGGCCCAGACUCCUACGGGAGGCAGCAGUAGGGAAUCUUCGGCAAUGGGGGCAACCCUGACCGAGCAACGCCGCGUGAGUGAAGAAGAUUUUCGGAUCGUAAAGCUCUGUUGUAAGUCAAGAACGGGUGUGAGAGUGGAAAGUUCACACUGUGACGGUAGCUUACCAGAAAGGGACGGCUAACUACGUG